GAUGAAGAACGCAGCGAAAUGCGAUAAGUAAUGUGAAUUGAAGAAUUCAGUGAAUCAUCGAAUCUUUGAACGCACAUUGCGCCCCUUGGUAUUCCGAGGGGCAUGCCUGUUCGAGCGUCAUUACACCACUCAAGCUAUGCUUGGUAUUGGGCGUCGUCCUUAGUUGGGCGCGCCUUAAAGACCUCGGCGAGGCCACUCCGGCUUUAGGCGUAGUAGAAUUUAUUCGAACGUCUGUCAAAGGAGAGGAACUCUGCCGACUGAAACCUUUAUUUUUCUAGGUUGACCUCGGAUCAGGUAGGGAUACCCGCUGAACUUAAGCAUAUCAAUAAGCGGAGGA
rnacentral:misc_RNA from 1 species